rnacentral:rRNA from 1 species
AACGAACGCUGGCGGCGUGGAUAAGACAUGCAAGUCGAACGGGAUUUUAUUUGUAGCAAUACACGUAAAGUCUAGUGGCGUAAGGGUGCGUAACACGUGGGGAAUCUGCCGAGAAGUGGGGGAUAGCUCGCCGAAAGGCGAAUUAAUACCGCAUGUGGUUAGGGAAGACAUCUUUCCGACACCAAAGCCGGGGCAACCUGGCGCUUCUUGAUGACCCCCCGGCCUAUCAGCUAGUUGGUGAGGUAACGGCUCACCAAGGCUAUGACGGGUAGCUGGGCUGAGAGGACGACCAGCCACACUGGAACUGAGACACGGUCCAGACACCUACGGGUGGCAGCAGUCGAGAAUUUUUCUCAAUGGGGGAAACCCUGAAGGAGCGACGCCGCGUGGAGGAUGAAGGUCUUCGGAUUGUAAACUCCUGUCAUUUGGGAACAAUGUGCAUCUAUUAACUGUAGAUGCAUUGAUAGUACCAGAAGAGGAAGAGACGGCUAACUCUGUGCCAGCAGCCGCGGUAAUAC